UAAUGUAAAUCCCCCGUAAGUUUCUGAAGUUGUAUAAAAACACCAAAUAGUAACCAGAAUGAAUAUGAAAACGCGUCAUGGUACUGCAGGGGUUAUGAAGAUAAAAAGAGCGUCCAUGAUUGUGAAAUAUGAAAGCACUGAGAAAAAAGAAAAAAAAAAUAUUACGAGACGUGCGUUAGUUUUGGUUAUGGUGAGGGAAGGGACGAAGUGGUGUUGUGUGGCAUAGCAGAGUAGGGGUGAUGAAGGGGUCUUAUGGGAGAGGUGGUGUGGUAUGACUGGGAAGGCUGAUAAAGGAUACGAUGUUGAGGCAAAGAGGUGAUGUGGCGUGGUGUGGUGUGGCGUGGUAUAGCUGGGUGGGGUUGAUAAGAGGGUGGUGUUGGGUGGUGGUGAGAUAUAAGAGAGACAGUGAGGUGAGGGAAAUAGAAGGGGUGUGUGGGAUGUGCCGGUGGAAUGUGCGAGUGUGGAAGGAGAGUUCUGGUGGAGGCAAGGACUGGUGGUGGUGGUGGUGGUCAAGGAAAGGACGAAUGUAGGCAGGUUGGUCCCACCUCUCACACCACCACCACCACCACCACCAUGAGUCAUCCACCACCGCCUCCACAAGACGAGUCGCGAGUGUGUCAAUGAGCCAGGAAGGAGGAGGAGGAGGAGGGAGUGUUGUUGUCUCAUUACCUCUCCUUACCCUUUUCCACACUUCUUUCCCCACCAUCAACACCACCACCACAAAAGAAUCAACACUGCACCAAUAACAUCAUGCACCACCACCACCACCACCACCACCAGCCUUGCCACGCCACAAUGUCUAUCUUUCAACCUCCCCGGAGUCAGGAUGGUAUCAAAGACUGCCUCUCCUUUGUGUGAGGGACGCCAACCCUUGCUGGGGGGCAGGAGUCUGGAGACGACACAAAGGAACACAACGAAACAACAAACAAAAGGCUUAUUGACUUUUGUGAGGAUAUACCUAAUAAGCACCUGAUACCCACCACUAAUCUAAAUAAAUAAAUAAAAAUAAAUAAUAAACAUGAAAUUGA